rnacentral:rRNA from 1 species
UACGAAGGGGGCUAGCGUUGUUCGGAAUUACUGGGCGUAAAGAGCGCGUAGGCGGCUAUUUGAGUCAGGGGUGAAAUCCCGGGGCUCAACCUCGGAACUGCCUUUGAUACUGCAAAUCUCGAGUCCGGAAGAGGUGAGUGGAAUUCCUAGUGUAGAGGUGAAAUUCGUAGAUAUUAGGAAGAACACCAGUGGCGAAGGCGGCUCACUGGGCCGGUACUGACGCUGAGGUGCGAAAGCGUGGGGAGCAAACAGG